AACGCGAAGAACCUUACCUACCCUUGACAUCCUCGGAACUUGUCAGAAAUGACUUGGUGCCUUCGGGAACCGAGUGACAGGUGCUGCAUGGCUGUCGUCAGCUCGUGUCGUGAGAUGUUGGGUUAAGUCCCGUAACGAGCGCAACCCUCGCCCUUAGUUGCCAGCGGUUCGGCCGGGAACUCUAAGGGGACUGCCGGUGAUAAACCGGAGGAAGGCGGGGACGACGUCAAGUCAUCAUGGCCCUUACGGGUAGGGCUACACACGUGCUACAAUGGGCAGUACAAAGGGUUGCCAAACCGCGAGGUGGAGCUAAUCCCAAAAAACUGUCCGUAGUCCGGAUUGGAGUCUGCAACUCGACUCCAUGAAGUUGGAAUCGCUAGUAAUCGCAAAUCAGCAUGUUGCGGUGAAUACGUUCCCGGGCCUUGUACACACCGACGCGUA
rnacentral:rRNA from 1 species